UCUCAAGAGUCUUCUCCAGCACCACAGUUCAAAAGCAUCAAUUCUUCGGCACUCAGCCAGAUGUCAAUCCCCUGGACAUUUCCUAACAAACAUCCCACACACCAAACUCCAUCUCUGAGUCUGCUUCCCAGGGAGCCCAACCGCAACAAGGUGUCGCAGGCUCAAAUGCCUUCAGGAGCCUGGCAGGUGAUAUAAAUGAAUGAAGCUAGUUGGACUUCAUAUAACAGGGAGUGGUGGGGAACUGGGUAAAGUGAAGACUUUGUGUCCCAUCUACAUUUUGAAAAAUUAAAAACCAACAUUAAGUACUCUG